rnacentral:rRNA from 1 species
AGUGAACGCUGGCGGUAGGCCUAACACAUGCAAGUCGAACGGCAGCACAGUAAGAGCUUGCUCUUACGGGUGGCGAGUGGCGGACGGGUGAGGAAUACAUCGGAAUCUACUUUUUCGUGGGGGAUAACGUAGGGAAACUUACGCUAAUACCGCAUACGACCUACGGGUGAAAGCAGGGGAUCUUCGGACCUUGCGCGAUUGAAUGAGCUGAUGUCGGAUUAGCUAGUUGGCGGGGUAAAGGCCCACCAAGGCGACGAUCCGUAGCUGGUCUGAGAGGAUGAUCAGCCACACUGGAACUGAGACACGGUCCAGACUCCUACGGGAGGCAGCAGUGGGGAAUAUUGGACAAUGGGCGCAAGCCUGAUCCAGCCAUACCGCGUGGGUGAAGAAGGCCUUCGGGUUGUAAAGCCCUUUUGUUGGGAAAGAAAAGCAGCAGGUUAAUACCCCGCUGUUCUGACGGUACCCAAAGAAUAAGCACCGGCUAACUUCGUG